rnacentral:tRNA from 1 species
UUCUCGGUAGUAUAGUGGUUAGUAUGCAGGCUUGUCAAACUCGCCUGAGACCCGGGUUCAAUUCCCGGCCGGGAAG